UCCCUACGGGGGGCAGCAGUGAGGAAUAUUGGUCAAUGGGCGAGAGCCUGAACCAGCCAAGUCGCGUGAAGGAUGAAGGAUCUAUGGUUUGUAAACUUCUUUUAUAUGGGAAUAAAGUGAGGAACGUGUUCCUUUUUGUAUGUACCAUAUGAAUAAGCAUCGGCUAACUCCGUGCCAGCAGCCGCGGCAAUACGGAGGAUGCGAGCGUUAUCCGGAUUUAUUGGGUUUAAAGGGUGCGUAGGCGGACUGUUAAGUCAGCGGUAAAAGCCCGGGGCUCAACCCCGGCGAGCCGUUGAAACUGGCUG
rnacentral:rRNA from 1 species